GGUCAGCUACAAAGGGCUCAUGGUGGAUC
rnacentral:rRNA from 1 species